AGCAGCCGCGGUAAUUCCAGCUCCAAUAGCGUAUAUUAAAGUUGUUGCAGUUAAAAAGCUCGUAGUUGAAUUUCGGGAUUCUACCGUCGGUCGGGCUAACAAGUCUGUACUGGUGUGUAGAAUUUCUACCUUCUGGGGAACCAUCAUGUUAUUAAUUUAGCGUGGUGGGAAACCAGGACCUUUACCUUGAAAAAAUUAGAGUGUUCAAAGCAGGCUUACGUCUGAAUACAUUAGCAUGGAAUAAUAGAAUAGGACGGUGGUCCUGUUUUGUUGGUUUCUGAAUCACCGUAAUGAUUAAUAGGGAUAGUUGGGGGCAUUAGUAUUCAAUUGUCAGAGGUGAAAUUCUUGGAUUUAUUGAAGACUAACUUCUGCGAAAGCAUUUGCCAAGGAUGUUUUCAUUAAUCAAGAACGAAAGUUAGGGGAUCGAAGACGAUCAGAUACCGUCGUAGUCUUAACCAUAAACUAUGCCGACUAGGGAUCGGACGAUGUUAACCUUUAUUGACUCGUUCGGCGCCUUACG
rnacentral:rRNA from 1 species